rnacentral:rRNA from 1 species
UACGAGUGCCCCGAGCGUUAUCCGGAAUCAUUGGGCGUAAAGGGUGUGUAGGUGGUCAGAUUAGUCUUGUGUUAAAUUCUUCGGCUUAACCGGGGGCAUGCAUAGGAAACGGUCUGACUUGAGGGUGCGAGGGGUCUGUGGAACUCAUGGUGUAGGGGUGAAAUCCGUUGAUAUCAUGGGGAACACCAAAAGCGAAGGCAGCAGACUGGCGCAUUCCUGACACUGAAACACUAAAGCGUGGGUAGCGAAUGGG